UAAUUUCUUCGGGGCAGGGUGAGAUUCCCGACCGACGGUGACAAGCUGUGCUUGAAGUCCGUGAGCCGCGAGAGCGGUUGAUCCGGUGUAAAUCCGGAACCGACAGUAUAGUCUGGAUGGGAGAAGAAAAUA
rnacentral:ncRNA from 2 species